rnacentral:misc_RNA from 1 species
AACUUUUGACAACGGAUCACUUGGCUCUCGCAUCGAUGAAGAACGCAGCGAGUCGCGAUAUGUAAUGUGAAUUGCAGAUCUACAGUGAAUCAUCGAAUCGUUGAACGCACCUUGCGCUCCUCGGUGUUCCGAGGAGCAUGCCUGUUUGAGCGUCAGUAAGUUCUCAACCCCUCUCGAUUUGCUUCGAUAGGGUGCUUGGAUACUGGGGGCUGCCGGAGACCUGGACUUUUCGUCUAGGACUCGGGCUCUCCUGAAAUGAAUCGGCUUGCGGUCGACUUUCGACUUUGCACGACAAGGCUUUUGGCGUGAUAAUGAUCGCCGUUCGCUGAAGUGCAUGAAUGAACCGUCCCGUGCCUCUAACCCGUCGACGCCUUACGGCGUCUUCCUUAUUGACUUUUGACCUCAAAUCAGGUAGGACUACCCGCUGAACUUAAGCAUAUCAAUAAGCGGAGGCU